rnacentral:rRNA from 1 species
UACGAAGGGUGCAAGCGUUACUCGGAAUUACUGGGCGUAAAGCGUGCGUAGGUGGUUUGUUAAGUCUGUUGUGAAAGCCCCGGGCUCAACCUGGGAAUGGCAAUGGAUACUGGCAAGCUAGAGUGCGGUAGAGGGUAGUGGAAUUCCCGGUGUAGCGGUGAAAUGCGUAGAGAUCGGGAGGAACACCAGUGGCGAAGGCGGCUACCUGGACAAGCACUGACACUGAGGCACGAAAGCGUGGGGAGCAAACAGG